CCUACAGAGCAGAAGAGAUGGCUACAGAGUUAGAGAAAGGCCCAAUAAAAGAAUCUGUAGUCCAAGGACCAUUUUCCUUUAGACCAAGCCCUGUCCAAAGGAUAAAACCCCAAGAUGAAAUCGGGAGUGAGAGAGGCAAAAGUGGGGAGAAAGCCUUUAGCUGACUGCUACUCACCCCAUCAUGUACAAGUGCUUUCCAAGAAUGCUCCAAUUUCUUAACAAACCUGCAGAGAAAAAUUAAUACCACACACACUAUUUCUGAAUGAAUGUCUAAUAGGUUUUUUCUCCUCCCCCAAUUCUAGGAAGAGGCAAUAAUAUAAAACCUUGAAACGACAAAAUCUGAAAGAAAAAGUCUUCCACUCUGAACCCAAGUACAUUCCUUAAGGAAAAAUGCUGUGAGCUUGUGCUCACCUCCCUGGUACCCGAGCCUACUCACUGAUCUUCUGUCUCCAUGGUUCCACCUCGUCGAGCCUCGCCCUGAAUGGAUUCCAUGGCUGUGGAGUAGAGAGCUUUUUGGGGAGCUGGUCUGCGCGUGUCAAAUGAGUAUUGUGUUUCAUUAUUUAAGGGCUCUCGUUGUGCAUGAUCUAUGUUGUGGAUUGACAUCAAAAGACUGUAAUCCAUUAUCUUAAAACUCUGCAGCACCUAAUGGAAAAAACAAGCAACCAAACAAAUAUGAUAUGAACCUUUGGAGGCAUAAGGAGUUUUUCAGGAUUUCACAGCUUCAUGAUCUAAUUAUACUUGAUAAUGAACCUUCAGGGCUAACCAUAAAAUUGUCCACUGUUUUUCCUACUCUUUGGAAAAGAGAAUAUUAGGCUCUCUGGUCAGUCUUUAAUUAUACCCCUUUAUCUUUCUCUCAUUUGAGUAAUGGAAAUUAAUUUUUCAAAUCCCACUGCCAAUCCACAGACACUCCUUGUAUUUCUUCAUGAAAAUAACACUAUAUUCUCAAGGUAACAAGGAAUAUGUAUUUGUGCUAUAAGGAAGCCACAAUUAAAGUCUAAGUAAAAGCAUACUUUAUAGGGGCUGCGGGCGGUUGUGGCUCAGUGGUAGAGUGCUUGCCUAGCAAGUGUGAGGCACUGGGUUCCAUUCUCAGCAUCACAUAAAAAUAAAUAAAGGUCCAGCAACAACUGAAAACAAGUAUUCUUUGUAAUAGAGCAGACUUUAACCUAUCAGCUUCAAUUCAGUUCAAAAUUUACUGAAUCCCCGCCAUGUGUUAUAGAUAUAUACUUAGAUAUGUAGAUACUUGAUGAGUUUCUACUGGGGCUGGGGUGUAGCUCAGUGGUAGAGUACUUGCCUACCAGGCACAAGGCCCUGGGUUCAAUAUCCCCACCAUGCACACACAGACAUAAACACACAGAGGAUUUCUGUCUUCAAGCAUAUUACAAAUUUAGAAGGGCUACAAAUGUAAAUAAAGGCAAUACAGUCUAACAUAUGCAACAAGAGAAGUAUUUAUGUGACAGAAAAGCACACAUCUAAUGGAUUUAUGAAGUAGAAAUUGGAGAUAAAAUAAGCCCAAGUAAAUAAAGGCAGGAAAGAACAUUGCUAAAACUGGGAGUGCAAAACAGCACAUUUUGUGCAGGGAGAUAUAAUCUGGUAUUGCUAGAACAUAAUAUGCAAAUACCUGGUGUAGAAGAUUAUGGGCAAGACAAUGAGGGCACAAUAUAUGUCAUAUUAAGAAGCCUGGUCUUGGGUUGGGAAUGUGGCUCAAGUGGUAGUGUGUUUGCCUAGCAUGCAUGAGGCACUGGGUUCGAUUCUUAGCACCACAUAAAAAAAAAAAAUAACAUAAAGCUAUUGUGUCCACCUAAAAUUAAAAAAUAAAUACUAAAAAAAAAAAAAAGAAGUGGUAGCAGCAGCCUGGUCUCCCAGGUCAGGUGGUACAUGCCUGUACUCUCAGGAACUCAGGAGGCUAAGGCAGGGGUAUUGCAAAUUUGUGGCCAGUUGCAAGUUCAAAGCCAGCCUCAAUAACUUAGGGAGACCCUGUCUUAAAACAAAAAACAAAAAAGGGAUGGGGAUGUGGCUCAGUGGUUAAGUACCCCUGCGUUCAAUCUCCUGUACCAAAAAAUAAAGAAGCCUGGGUUAUACUUCCAGUGCUGUGCAAACUCAACCAAGGGUAUGCUGAUAGAAGAAUGAAGUAAAAGGAGAGGAAAACCUAAGCCUAGGAUUGUUUUUUGUGCACUAUGUGAAAAAAACUCCAUUGGUUGAGUAAGUCUCCAGUCCUUGCAAUUGAAGGAUACAAUCUAAAAUAGACAUUAUCCUUGGAAGCAGAUGCAGACUGAGCAAACAAAGGCAAGAAUGGACAAUAUUCUGGACUGAGCAGAGGAAGAUGAUUUUGCAAAAGCAGUUAAAACAACAACAACAAAGAAAAAUCAGUAGAGAAAUGCUGACCGGAAAAAAAAAAAAAAAGGAAAUGGUUUACAG